rnacentral:rRNA from 1 species
UACGAAGGGGGCUAGCGUUGCUCGGAAUCACUGGGCGUAAAGCGCACGUAGGCGGCUUUUUAAGUCAGGGGUGAAAUCCUGGAGCUCAACUCCAGAACUGCCUUUGAUACUGAGAAGCUUGAGUCCGGGAGAGGUGAGUGGAACUGCGAGUGUAGAGGUGAAAUUCGUAGAUAUUCGCAAGAACACCAGUGGCGAAGGCGGGCUCACUGGCCCGGUACUGACGCUGAGGUGCGAAAGCGUGGGGAGCAAACAGG